GACGAACGCUGGCGGCGUGCUUAACACAUGCAAGUCGAACGGAAAGGCCCUGCUUUUGUGGGGUGCUCGAGUGGCGAACGGGUGAGUAACACGUGAGUAACCUGCCCUUGACUUUGGGAUAACUUCAGGAAACUGGGGCUAAUACCGGAUAGGAGCACCUGCUGCAUGGUGGGGGUUGGAAAGUUUCGGCGGUUGGGGAUGGACUCGCGGCUUAUCAGCUUGUUGGUGGGGUAGUGGCUUACCAAGGCUUUGACGGGUAGCCGGCCUGAGAGGGUGACCGGCCACAUGGGGACUGAGAUACGGCCCAGAAUCCUACGGGAGGCAGCAGGGGGGAAUAUUGCACAAUGGGCGGACGCCUGAUGCAGCAGCGCCGCGUGCGGGAUGACGGCCUUCGGGUUGUAAACCGCUUUCGCAUGUGACGAAGCGUGAGUGACGGUAAUGGGUAAAGAAGCACCGGCUAACUACGUG
rnacentral:rRNA from 1 species